GCGGCACCGUCCGCCAAAAC
rnacentral:sRNA from 1 species